rnacentral:rRNA from 1 species
UGAGCAAUCUGCCCUUCUCUUCGGAAUAAGCGUGGGAAACCGCGUCUAAUGCCGAAUACGACCUCCUUUCGCAUGAUCGGAGGUGGAAAGCUCCGGCGGAGAGGGAUGAGCUCGCGGCCUAUCAGCUAGUUGGUGUGGGUAAUGGCCCACCAAGGCGACGACGGGUAGCCGGCCUGAGAGGGUGACCGGCCACACUGGGACUGAGACACGGCCCAGACCUCCUACGGGAGGNAGCG